rnacentral:rRNA from 1 species
AUGGAGAUGGAGAUGGAGAUGGAGAUGGAGAUGGAGAUGGAUGGGAAGAGCAACGGCGUGACCAAGGUGGCGAAGGAGGACCCUUCCCUUUCACAGGCCAUGGGUCUCAUGGAGGGGAACAACAACAGCAACGGCAGCGAGACCAAGGAAGGGGGCGAUAAUCGGCUGGAUGGAGAGGGCGUCAUUUUCAAGAAGCAGAAUGUUGCCAUGGCCAUGGGAACGGAGUUCUUGGACUGCCCUAUCUGCUCCGCCCCCCUCAGCCCUCCAACUUUCCAGUGUGCACUGGGGCAUUUCGUGUGCCUGAACUGUCGCGAUAAGCUCCUGGAGACAAAGACGAACAAGGUUUGGGGCGUGUGCUCCAGGGAUGUCUCGACCCGCUGCCACGACAUGAAGCGUGUCGUCGACUCCAUCAUCGUGCCAUGCUCAUAUGCCGUGCAUGGGUGCGGCGACACAAUCGCCUACCACAAGAAGAGGGCGCACGAGGAGGUGUGCUAG